rnacentral:miRNA from 1 species
CUCAGUGACUCAUGUGC